AUCCUAAUCUAUAAGUCUCCUAUUUUUAGAGAUGGACGUUAACUUUUUUGUGAAUAGCCUAGUUGACGUGUCUUCUAUUUUUAGGAACCAAGAAUG
rnacentral:misc_RNA from 1 species